rnacentral:rRNA from 1 species
UACGGAGGGGCGAGCGUUAUUCGGAAUUAUUGGGCGUAAAGGGCGCGUAGGCGGCCCUGCAAGUCAAAGGUGAAAUCCCUCGGCUCAACUGAGGAACUGCCUUUGAAACUGCAGGGCUUGAGUCCGGGAGGGGUAGCGGAAUUCCCAGUGUAGCGGUGAAAUGCGUAGAUAUUGGGAGGAACACCAGUGGCGAAGGCGGCUACCUGGACCGGAACUGACGCUGAUGCGCGAAAAGCGGUGGGUAGCAAACGAGGA